GCCUGGAAUAUCAGACACUGCCCUGGCUCACAUUCUCAGACCUCUCUCACCGAUGUGUGUGCCGGAAGAUUAUGGUGAAUCGGACUCUGUUGGGAUCACAUGGCCACCCCUGGGACUUCUACGUUUGUUGACUCUUCCCCUGGACAUUUUAAGGCUUUUUUUAGGCUAUUUUGCCAGAAAAAAAGGAUGCAGUGGAGCAUAGCAUACUUAGAAAAAAUUAAUAAACUCAAGCAUCUUGUGCUUAUAAUACUUCUUAUAAAAUCCAAUGAGACAAAGUUUGCUUAUGCCUGUUAUUUAUUCAUUGUAACUACAGUAGAUGUUAAACCAGCACUCCCACACUAUUAGUCCAUUGGAUACCAAAGAUACCAAAAUGAUGUGUGAAUCCGUAGCCAGUUUAAAUGUUUGUAUUU